GACGAACGCUGGCGGCGUGCUUAACACAUGCAAGUGGAGCGACGAACCAGGCUUGCCUGGGGCAAAGCCGCGAACGGGUGAGUAACACGUGGGUAAUCUGCCCCGAUGACCGGGACAACCCGAGGAAACUCGGGCUAAUACCGGAUGUGGUGCACACACAUAAGUGUGUUCACUAAAGGAAGCUUCGGCCUCCGCAUCGGGAGGGGCCCGCGGCCCAUUAGCUGGUUGGUGGGGUCAUGGCCUACCAAGGCAACGAUGGGUAGCUGGUCUGAGAGGACGAUCAGCCACACUGGGACUGAGACACGGCCCAGACUCCUACGGGAGGCAGCAGUGGGGAAUCUUGCGCAAUGCGCGAAAGCGUGACGCAGCAACGCCGCGUGAGGGAAGAAGGCCUUCGGGUUGUAAACCUCUUUCAGGAGGGACGAAGGCCGGCCGGCGAAUAGCCGAGUCGGUUGACGGUACCUCCAGAAGAAGCUCCGGCUAACUACGUGCCAGCCGCCGCAGUAA
rnacentral:rRNA from 1 species